rnacentral:rRNA from 1 species
UACGUAGGGACCGAGCGUUGUCCGGAAUCAUUGGGCGUAAAGAGCGUGUAGGCGGCCUUUUAAGUCCUGCGUGAAAUCCUGCGGCUCAACCGCAGACGGUCGUGGGAAACUGGAAGGCUAGAGUGCGGGAGAGGAGAGUGGAAUUCCCGGUGUAGCGGUGAAAUGCGCAGAUAUCGGGAAGAACACCCGUGGCGAAGGCGGCUCUCUGGAACGCAACUGACGCUGAGACGCGAAAGCGUGGGGAGCAAAUAGG